rnacentral:snRNA from 1 species
CGGACGUCUUCGGCGUUC